UACCAGGAACCAACUAGGUCUCUGUUGCCGAUGCGGAGUCGCACGCGACAGGUCAAGCGUCCGAGGCGCUUCGCGAUGACAGCGCAGGGACAGCGGACAGGAUUGUUGACGCGUUUUUCAUUCAAAUGACGGUGGUUUGACUGUGGUUAAAGCAGAGCCAAGCCGAGGGGAGUUAAGCUGACGAGGACGUUCAGCUGUCAGGAGAGGCCGUGUUAGAAACUUUCCCACGACCCGGCUCCUCUACUCAGUGACGUCGUGCAACGGAACGCGGAGAGCGUGGCAAUAACGCCGCGUGCGCCACGUCGCAUCAUGCGGUAGCAUCGGUCUCUUUGCUUCGAGCUCGCGGCAGCGACGGACGUACUCUCUAGUGCUAAUAGGACGCGUACUUGUACUUGUGUUGAUAAACAUUUAGUUGAUGUAAAUGAAUAAAUCUUGUAAAG